GGAAAAAUGUUAGCGAUACUUUGUUUUUAACACUUUCAUUAUCUGGUUGAAAAUCAUGUAAAUAUACUAAAAAUAUGAGUUUUAAUUUCAAUUUAAUUAGACAUAGAUAAAUUUUAAUCAAUUAAUGAAAGAGUGUUAGAAAGAAAAUGUUGUUAGCACUCC
rnacentral:pre_miRNA from 1 species